rnacentral:rRNA from 1 species
AUUGAACGCUAGCGGGAUGCUUUACACAUGCAAGUCGAACGAGUGGCGGACGGGUGAGUAAUAUAUCGGAACGUGCCCAGUAGCGGGGGAUAACUACUCGAAAGAGUGGCCAAUACCGCAUACUUUUGGAGCGGCCGAUAUAGGAUUAGUUAGUUGGUGGGGGAAAGGCUCACCAGGGCAACGAUCCGUAGCGGGUUUGAGAGGAGGACCAGCCACACUUGAACUGAGACACGGCCCAGACUCCUACGGGAGGCAGCAGUGGGGAAUGGUGGACAAUGGGGGAAACCCUGAUCCAGCCAUCCCGCGUGUAUGAGAAGGCCUUCGGGUUUUAAAGUACUUUUGGCAGAGAAGCGGUAUCUGCAGAAUAAGCACCGGCUAACUACGUGCCAGCAGCCGCGGUAAUAC